rnacentral:rRNA from 1 species
AUUGAACGCUGGCGGCAGGCCUAACACAUGCAAGUCGAACGGUAACAGGAAACAGCUUGCUGUUUCGCUGACGAGUGGCGGACGGGUGAGUAAUGUCUGGGAAACUGCCUGAUGGAGGGGGAUAACUACUGGAAACGGUAGCUAAUACCGCAUAACGUCGCAAGACCAAAGAGGGGGACCUUCGGGCCUCUUGCCAUCAGAUGUGCCCAGAUGGGAUUAGCUAGUAGGUGGGGUAACGGCUCACCUAGGCGACGAUCCCUAGCUGGUCUGAGAGGAUGACCAGCCACACUGGAACUGAGACACGGUCCAGACUCCUACGGGAGGCAGCAGUGGGGAAUAUUGCACAAUGGGCGCAAGCCUGAUGCAGCCAUGCCGCGUGUAUGAAGAAGGCCUUCGGGUUGUAAAGUACUUUCAGCGGGGAGGAAGGGAGUAAAGUUAAUACCUUUGCUCAUUGACGUUACCCGCAGAAGAAGCACCGGCUAACUCCGUGCCAGCAGCCGCGGUAAUACGGAGGGUGCAAGCGUUAAUCGGAAUUACUGGGCGUAAAGCGCACGCAGGCGGUUUGUUAAGUCAGAUGUGAAAUCCCCGGGCUCAACCUGGGAACUGCAUCUGAUACUGGCAAGCUUGAGUCUCGUAGAGGGGGGUAGAAUUCCAGGUGUAGCGGUGAAAUGCGUAGAGAUCUGGAGGAAUACCGGUGGCGAAGGCGGCCCCCUGGACGAAGACUGACGCUCAGGUGCGAAAGCGUGGGGAGCAAACAGG